GACGAACGCUGGCGGCGUGCUUAACACAUGCAAGUCGAACGGAAAGGCCCUGCUUUUGUGGGGUGCUCGAGUGGCGAACGGGUGAGUAACACGUGAGUAACCUGCCCUUGACUUUGGGAUAACUUCAGGAAACUGGGGCUAAUACCGGAUAGGAGCUCCUGCUGCAUGGUGGGGGUUGGAAAGUUUCGGCGGUUGGGGAUGGACUCGCGGCUUAUCAGCUUGUUGGUGGGGUAGUGGCUUACCAAGGCUUUGACGGGUAGCCGGCCUGAGAGGGUGACCGGCCACAUUGGGACUGAGAUACGGCCCAGACGCCUACGGGAGGCAGCAGUGGGGAAUAUUGCACAAUGGGCGGAAGCCUGAUGCAGCAACGCCGCGUGCGGGAUGACGGCCUUCGGGUGGUAAACCGCUUUCGCCUGUGACGAAGCGUGAGUGACGGGAAUGGGGAAAGAAACACCGGCUAACUACGU
rnacentral:rRNA from 1 species